CCCAGCCCAGCCGAGCAGAGGGAUCCUGUACACAACUUUUUCAAACUGCCAGGCAGAAGAAUCCCAGCCUUUCCAAGGGAGUGUCGGUAAAUCAUCAGUACAUCCGACAACGCAGCCAGCGGGAUUAACCCUUUGCGGGGCCCCGGGAAAAUAACAACAACAACAACAACAACGCAUUUAACAAUGAAAAUAGUAAAAGCUGGUCCCAGCUGYGGGAGAAAGGGGACGGGCAGGGCGUGUGCCGGGAUUUUUUCAUGCACACACGGAUGGAUAGGAAGCAGCAUUUUGUGUGUGCCGAGCACAUGAAGAGCUGCCACCGCGCACCUCCGCCGUGCCUCAGCCCUCCGGGCUCUCCCACCGCCCGCAGCACCGCGGCCAGACCCAGUGCAGAUGUGCCUCCCACCCCCCAAGGAUCUCUCCUCUGGACUUAGAGAGAAGAGGAAAAGGCAGAUUUGGAGAAAUGAAAAUUAUUUAAGGAUGUYCCUACUGCCUCUCUCUGCUGCCCUCCUCUGUAAUAGUGAAGCAUUUACGAGAAAUAAUACAAAAUAAAUAAAUAAUUUAGGGAAAAAAAAAAAA